rnacentral:rRNA from 1 species
GACGAACGCUGGCGGCGUGCUUAACACAUGCAAGUCGAACGGUGAAGCUCCAGCUUGCUGGAGUGGAUCAGUGGCGAACGGGUGAGUAACACGUGAGCAACCUGCCCCUGACUCUGGAAUAAGCGCUGGAAACGGCGUCUAAUACUGGAUACGAGAAGUGUCCGCAUGGGCACUUUCUGUAAAGUUUUUCGGUUGGGGAUGGGCUCGCGGCCUAUCAGCUUGUUGGUGAGGUAAUGGCUCACCAAGGCGACGACGGGUAGCCGGCCUGAGAGGGCGACCGGCCACACUGGGACUGAGACACGGCCCAGACUCCUACGGGAGGCAGCAGUGGGGAAUAUUGCACAAUGGGCGAAAGCCUGAUGCAGCGACGCCGCGUGAGGGAUGACGGCCUUCGGGUUGUAAACCUCUUUCAGCAGGGAAGAAGCGAAAGUGACGGUACCUGCAGAAGAAGCACCGGCUAACUACGUG